AUUCAGAAAUGGUAUACGGGAAAAUGACCUAUGAAUUGACAGACAAUAUAGCCUGAGUUUGUCUGUCAUUUCUUUAGGCCAAUAUUCUGUAUGACUGUGCUACUUC
rnacentral:pre_miRNA from 13 species